AGGCAAGAGUAUCUUUGUGGGGAUUCCUGUGUGCUUGAGGCUUUAUGAAGCCACGUGGAUCACUGUGCUCUUUUAUGGAGAUCUGACCAGGUGCCAUACCAGCUGAAUGGGGAGGCAGGAAGGACAAACAGCUUGUGGUUACAGAGAGGGGCUCAUGGUGCUCGGGUGCACUUCCCAGCUCUGCUACAGCCUUCCUGUGCUGUCUUUGCAAAGGCACUUCACCUCUCUGUGUCUCCAUUCCUAACCUGUGAAAGAAGAUACCGCUUCUUUUUUCUCAUCUUGUACCAGCUUUGUGUCUAUAGACAGGAAGAUUUCUUUCAGGCCAGGGUAAUUUCUACCUUCUUCUUCCCCUAAGACAGUAAGGAUUUGGUCUGUGCAAAUGUUCAAUCAGCAGAAAAAAAAAAAACAAAUAGCAAGAGUACUUGUCCAGAUCUGCAUGUCCUCUGGGUUUGUCUUAGCUUCCUCAUGGCCAGAGCUGUUGGAACAGCUUUAAUCACUGUAUGAAUGCACUUUACAGCAUUGAAUGAAGCCCAAACUGAAAACUGAUUCAAAUUAUUUCUUUACAACUCCAGAACUGAAUCUACACUCUUACUUUGAAACCUCCGUGGGACUCCAAAGAAAACCAAACAGAGCAAAGUUUUCUCUGUAGCUGUACCAGAACUCGAUUUAAAAAAAAAAAAAAGACUGUUUUGAGUCAGUAACAGAUUUACUUCCUUGCUGAUUUCAGUUCCCUAUUAUUCAUCAACUUAUUCAUCCUGAAGGUACUGGGAAAUCACCAGCAUUUGUGCAAAGAUUCAUAUUCCUGAAAGCUUUGAACACUGUCAUAAAUGGCUACAUUGUAGAAACUUAUUAUGAAAUUUCCUUGCUGCUUGUAGUCUGUCUUCCAUUUAGAAACUUUUGGUCAUCUAUUUAGGGAGAAAACAAUGAACAACAGAGGUAUCCUGCCAUAGCAAGCAAUUCCUUAAAACCACCAAAAGAUAUUUAAAAAAAAUAAAAUAAAAUCACAGAGAUGACCUGACAAUCAGAAAUUCUGUUUGGAUCUUGUUUUCCAGCUGAGUUCUGGCUGCUGAUAUGCCUAAUUUACUAUGCCUGGAUAUAAGUUCCUCACAGAUUUUGUUAAAAAUAAGUAAAGAGAAGUUUGGAAUGUUGUAUUCCAGACAAUAAGGUGAGUAGUGACAGUAAAACCCAGACAUGGAGCCAAAAGACUCCUGGGAAAGAGCUAUCCCAAUGUCUCGCCAUAUCUUGGAAGAUAGGAGCUUACUUCUUGCUCUUGUUGCUAUGAGAAGCUGUCCCCUGCUAAUGGAGCUGCAAAAGAUAGCAGGUCAGUCCUGCUGGGCAGCCAGAGGCAGCUUUCUUACAGCUGGCCAAAAAGGCCUGUGCACCUCAAUCACGCUAGCUAGAACCAGCAGGAAAUUUUUUUCUCCAUUCACUUUUUGACUGUCUUAUCAUUCAGCAUGAAAUAAGCGUCACGUCUUGUCUUCUGGAUUUCUCAGGUUGACUUUGAAAGGAAGAGUCCUGCAAAAACAGAAGUAUCCAAAUAUUUUCCUUUGAGUUUCAUGAGGUGUUGGUGUUACUUACCAGUCCCUGCAUACUGAGGUACAAUUUCUCUAUGGACUUUGAUGUCUGUAACUGCAGAUAGCCACUGUCAGAAGCCAAAAUCAUUGCGGAUUAUCUCACAUAUGAGACAGGCAUGCACAUGACUGCUCCUCUUGGAAACCUUCUGCCUGUUGCUGUUUUCAUAAUCAUAAAACUGAGGCUGUGCUGAGUGAACCUCAGCCCUAGUUCAACGUGAGCCUUUUGCAACCACCAGAACAACAUUUGGAUGAUAUAAUAAGGAAGCCAGCGGGUCAGAAACAGUGAAAUAUGUUCAUGCGGGUUAUCUUCUGUAAAAUCUGAGAUUUAUACUCCUAGAUGAGGCAGUAAAGCACAUUGUCCUCCACAUAAGAGGUAAAGAGAAGGAGUAUCUGUCUCUAGGAGGCACUUAUAGGACUGCCCUUGUGAACAAUAUGAUAUUAUUAUUUGUGCCAUGUCAGAGAAAACAUGCACAGAGUGCAUCUGACCAUGGUAUGACAACCUUUGUUCAUGUCUUUCUCUGGAUAAAAAGAAGGCUAAAACUCAAAGGUGGAUUGUUCCUCAGAUGUUGUUUAUUGUUCAGAUAGAAGAAUAACCAGACUAUCUAAUUUGAGAUGCUCUGCUGGGGAAGCAGGAAUUUUUCUGGAGGCAAGAACAACUAUCCAAUUCCUGAUGAAGACCCAUUCGUUCCUAAAAGCCAUUCAUCUCCAAGUAUGCAGCCAAGUGACAGAGAUAAAGGCCUGUGGUGUCAGAGCAGAUAUCUUCUGUCUUCCUGGCUCCCAUCCUUGUUUGUUUGUCGCUGUGCCCCAAAAGCUGCUCCCAGCCCCCUAAGUGACUGGUGAGUCAAUGCUAUCCACUGACUUGGAAAGAUAAAGACAGCAUCCAGAGCACUGAGUGAUUAAACAGGCCCAGGCACCUGAUAAAACCCCCUCUUCCCCCUCUCAUGGAGAGUCUGUAGACAGACUUGCAUUUGUUUAUGUGUCCGUGUUUGGAGCUGUCUCCUGUGACACCUAUGCAGAGGCCAGUCAAUUAGGGCUAAGUCCUUCAUAAUAAUUCUCUGGUCCUGCCCCACUUAGAAUGGUGAAGAUGGAGUCAGUGACUUGUGAAAAUAAGCCAAACUGGAUCAGGUGAUCGUGUAGGAUUAGGUGCAGCUCCCCACUGGGUGUCAAAUCCCAGCACACCCACUGCUAGUCCAUUAUACUUUAAUGAGAGUAGGAUGAUAAGGCACUUCAAAGAGAGAAACAAGACAGCAGAGAGCUUCCUGGAUUCCUCUUUAAGGGGAAGAAUCAACCUUAAUUGAAUUCACUCCUUAUCUGCUUCCAUCACUUUUAUUUCAUGAAAGUGGGAAGUUUAAAAUGGACAGGAAGAAUAGCACAGAGAGACUCUUGAAGAGAGAACAGUUUUUCCCUGUUGCUGCAUGUCCUUUUUGUGAUUUUCUUCCUUUAUCCUUAGUGGAUAAAUUGACACAAACCUGCCAAAACUUGUACAGAUCCAGAAUCCUAUCUCCACCCUCCAUUCCCAGAGCCUUGUCCUUU